rnacentral:rRNA from 1 species
AUCAUGGCUCAGAUUGAACGCUGGCGGCAUGCCCUUACACAUGCAAGUCGAACGGCAGCACGGGAGCAAUCCUGGUGGCGAGUGGCGAACGGGUGAGUAAUACAUCGGAACGUGCCCAGUUGUGGGGGAUAGCCCGGCGAAAGCCGGAUUAAUACCGCAUACGACCUGUGGGUGAAAGCGGGGGAUCGCAAGACCUCGCGCAAUUGGAGCGGCCGAUGUCAGAUUAGCUAGUUGGUGGGGUAAAGGCCCACCAAGGCGACGAUCUGUAGCUGGUCUGAGAGGACGACCAGCCACACUGGGACUGAGACACGGCCCAGACUCCUACGGGAGGCAGCAGUGGGGAAUUUUGGACAAUGGGCGCAAGCCUGAUCCAGCCAUGCCGCGUGUGGGAAGAAGGCCUUCGGGUUGUAAACCACUUCUGUCAGGGAAGAAACGGCUUAGUUUAAUACGCUGAGCUAAUGACGGUACCUGAAGAAUAAGCACCGGCUAACUACGUGCCAGCAGCCGCGGUAAUACGUAGGGUGCUAGCGUUAAUCGGAAUUACUGGGCGUAAAGCGUGCGCAGGCGGCUUUGCAAGACAGAUGUGAAAUCCCCGGGCUCAACCUGGGAACUGCAUUUGUGACUGCAUGGCUAGGGUGCGGCAGAGGGGGAUGGAAUUCCGC